rnacentral:rRNA from 1 species
UAAGCGAAUAGUGAAAUCUUGUGGCUCAACCAUAAGGCUAUUAUUCGAACUGGGUUACUCGAGAAUGGGAGAGGUAUCUGGAAUUCCUAAUGUAGGGGUAAUAUCCGUAGAUAUUAGGAGGAACACCAAUGGCGUAGGCAGGAUACUGGCCCAUUUCUGACACUAAGGCACGAAAGCGUGGGGAGCGAACAGGAUUAGAUACCCUGGUAGUCCACGCCGUAAACUAUGAAUACUA